rnacentral:rRNA from 1 species
AUUGAACGCUGGCGGCAGGCCUAACACAUGCAAGUCGAACGGUAACAGGAAACAGCUUGCUGUUUCGCUGACGAGUGGCGGACGGGUGAGUAAUGUCUGGGAAACUGCCUGAUGGAGGGGGAUAACUACUGGAAACGGUAGCUAAUACCGCAUAACGUCGCAAGACCAAAGAGGGGGACCUUCGGGCCUCUUGCCAUCGGAUGUGCCCAGAUGGGAUUAGCUAGUAGGUGGGGUAACGGCUCACCUAGGCGACGAUCCCUAGCUGGUCUGAGAGGAUGACCAGCCACACUGGAACUGAGACACGGUCCAGACUCCUACGGGAGGCGGCAGUGGGGAAUAUUGCACAAAGGGCGCAAGCCUGAUGCAGCCAUGCCGCGUGUAUGAAGAAGGCCUUCGGGUUGUAAAGUACUUUCAGCGGGGAUGAAGGGAGUAAAGUUAAUACCUUUGCUCAUUGACGUUACCCGCAGAAGAAGCACCGGCUAACUCCGUG